GUGAGGAAUAUUGGUCAAUGGGCGGGAGCCUGAACCAGCCAAGUCGCGUGAAGGAAGAAGGAUCUAUGGUUCGUAAACUUCUUUUGCAGGGGAAUAAAGUGCGGGACGUGUCCUGUUUUGUAUGUACCCUGAGAAUAAGGAUCGGCUAACUCCGUGCCAGCAGCCGCGGUAAUACGGAGGAUCCGAGCGUUAUCCGGAUUUAUUGGGUUUAAAGGGUGCGUAGGUGGUUUGAUAAGUCAGCGGUGAAAGUUUGCAGCUUAACUGUAAAAAUGCCGUUGAAACUGUCAGACUUGAGUGUAAAUGAGGUAGGCGGAAUGCGUGGUGUAGCGGUGAAAUGCAUAGAUAUCACGCAGAACUCCGAUUGCGAAGGCAGCUUACUAAGCUACAACUGACACUGAAGCACGAAAGCGUGGGGAUCAAACAGGAUUAGAAACCCGUGUAGUCC
rnacentral:rRNA from 1 species